UCCCGUUACAAUGAAAUUUCGAAAUGUAUUAUGUAACACGUACACAAUAUACGCAUACAUCAACGUGUCUUAUCGCAAGUGUUGAAAUUACUUUCGUCGACUACUGUAUAUGUGCGAGCGACAAAGUAAAUCUGUAUUCAUAGAGCACAACAGGACGACGAAAGGCGAUUCAAUAGACCAGCCACGGACGAGUCGAACAAAUCGAACGGAGGAUGCUUUAUAUAGCGAAAGAACGUGUAUAUCGCGUAUUGCGUCUUCGAAUGGACAGUCCUCGGACGGAAACCGCGUCGCGUUGAUUUAUAAUGCGAUACCUAUUGACGGCUGUCCAUGGAAAACAAGGUAAAUGAAUGUGUCUGUAUGCAAGGUUAUUGUGCGAAGUAUACAGUUGAAAUCUGGAGUAAAAUAACCAGACGUCUAUAAUGCCGCUGUCCACAAGGGACUCAAAGGAGAGAUGGAGUUACUUGACUUAUUCCGAAAUUGGAUAUCGGUAAAAAAGUAGCGAAAAGAAGCAAUCGACGGAAGCCAAUUUAUCGUUGAUCGAAGUCGAUCUACGUCAGAAAUAACAAACGAAAUAGCGAAAAAAGGAUUUGAGUAACCGCAAUGUGGAUAACCUAUUGGAAGUAAAACUUGCAGCGAAGAAAAAGUGGAAAAGCAAAAAGACUGCAAGAUAAAGUCGUGACGAAUGGAAGAAAGGUCUGGUACAUCGACAAUGAUCAUGUUACUACGUCGGAAAUUCUGUCUUCAAUUGAAGAUAACAUCUACUACUGCCUACGAUCGUGCGGUAAGUUGCUUAAGUUGCAAAGCAAGAAACUGCACAGGGGAAUCACGUGCAACGUGAUUAGGAAAUUUUCCUUGGAGAACAAAUCAGAAGGAAAUGGUAGCUGACGAGUUUAAGUUAAACGAACCUAAUGUUACGGUUACGGGAAUAAAUGUCUCAAUUAAGAAAAAGGUUUAUUCUGUUGAUAAAACAAAGGCGAAAGAAUACACAAUUAGAAAAUCGUA
rnacentral:lncRNA from 1 species